GAUGAAAGCUGGCGGCGUGCCUAAUACAUGCAAGUCGAGCGAACAGACGAGGAGCUUGCUCCUCUGACGUUAGCGGCGGACGGGUGAGUAACACGUGGAUAACCUACCUAUAAGACUGGGAUAACUUCGGGAAACCGGAGCUAAUACCGGAUAAUAUAUUGAACCGCAUGGUUCAAUAGUGAAAGACGGUUUUGCUGUCACUUAUAGAUGGAUCCGCGCCGCAUUAGCUAGUUGGUAAGGUAACAGCUUACCAAGGCAACGAUGCGUAGCCGACCUGAGAGGGUGAUCGGCCACACUGGAACUGAGACACGGUCCAGACUCCUACGGGAGGCAGCAGUAGGGAAUCUUCCGCAAUGGGCGAAAGCCUGACGGAGCAACGCCGCGUGAGUGAUGAAGGUCUUCGGAUCGUAAAACUCUGUUAUUAGGGAAGAACAAAUGUGUAAGUAACUAUGCACGUCUUGACGGUACCUAAUCAGAAAGCCACGGCUAACUACGUG
rnacentral:rRNA from 1 species